AGCCGCCAUGCUCUCCGGUUGGGCGCGACCCUGAUAAGGUCGAAGCACCUGGUUCGAUUCCAGGGGCGGCUACCA
rnacentral:tRNA from 1 species